ensembl:lncRNA
GUUCAGGGUAUGUUUCUGUUGAUGGCUGCACAUUCUGGCAUCCCAAUAUAUUACAACAGUGAUGAAAAAAGAAAGAAAAUAAAACGUGGACAAAUCAUUCAUUCUUGUUCAAUGCGAAUGUCGUAUGCUGGAAUAUGAUCAGUCAUUUAUUUCGUCUGCAAAAUGCCCGUGUCAAAAUGCCCGUCUUGGUAAGUAUCCUAUAGCAGACAUAGCUGGCUGAAAUUACUUACAGUGUUUUAAAGUGACAGCACAUUCUUAAAGGUGUCGCAGAAUGCAAAAAUCACUCUUAUAAGGUGUUUGAACACAGUUGUGUGGCCACAGUGUGUGAAAAUAACCAGCCUAUAAUGGUAAAAAUCCACCCACUCAUUGUUUUAUAAUCCUAAUAAAUCAUAAUCAGUCUCCCCAGCAGUUCCAGAUUUCUCACUACUGUGAAGUCAAACUCGGGGAAAGUCCCGCCCAUUUGUGACGCUCUCUGUCCUAUUAGUAUACACACAGCCCUGAGUGAGAAACAGCGGUCCGCCAUUACUGUUUUCUUGCUGUAGCUGCUGGAGGUACAAUGUCAGCGCCAAAGAACCAUUAAAAGUGUCAUGUGUUGGGAUGCACAAACGAACAAAGGAGUCUCCAUAGACCGCUGAGGACAUGGUGGUUAAAUUUCAUUUUCGAAGGAAAUGUCCCAGAAAAGUCCUAUACGUUUGUGUUAACAUUUUACGCCAGACUGCCUCAUAAACGUUGUGCAAAAAUUGCUUCUGAAAGAGGGAUCGAUACCAAUGCUUCUUGCGCAAACGUCCAGACUACAGACAAAGCAGAGGGUGCUUUCUUUACUGCCCCUCCCUCACCGGCAGUGGCAGGAAUGUUAUAUGGCCGCCACCACCCCCUGGAGCUCACCUGUCCAAUUCAAGGUUGGAUAAGCAGUCAUGACCUCUCUGCACACUUCACAACACCUCAGGGAUGGCGCCCUAUUCUACACACCUGGUGUUUCUGGAGUCACCAAUAAAAUCAUCACAAAUGUUGCUUGUUUCAGUCAAAUGAGGCCUGACUCCACAUGACUCAGGACCAUCAAUUAACAUCUUGUAAAGUGAAAAUCUGCAUGUUUAAUAAAAAAAUUCACAAGAAAUUUAUAACUAGUGGU